rnacentral:lncRNA from 1 species
CAAAGUUUUCAGUCACCACAAACAAGCAGGACAAAUCAGAAGCAGGGGACAAAUCUGGAUAGAAAGGUGACCAGUACUGCUUACAAAACUGCACUGAUUAGAACCAGAGCGAAGGACAUAUCAAGGAGAAGGAGAACAUCAUAGCCAUUAUGUACUUUUUGGGAAGUCAAAGAUAUCUGGAAUAUUCUAACCAUAAUUACCUUUUUGUGUCAUUCCUCAAGCUCGAAGAAAUGCUUCAUGUAACAGACGUCCCGGUGCUGGACACCAUGCAAUGGAAUCACCAUCAGGGCUUCGACUGUGGAGUGCUCUUGAAAAGACAGAUUAAGUAUUGGCACCAGGACUUCCAACUGAGCUCUGGAAAUACUGCUGUCCAGCUGGCUCUGACUCAUUUAGUCCUACAAAUAAAAGUGCUACAAAUCUAAAAUCUAAUUGACUGUGUUUCUAAUGCAGGUAAGACAAAGCAGACUUUCCACCUUUCUUCUUCUGUUUCUAUAACCUGCACCUUGCCUGUACCAGACAAACUGUUUU